AGACAGAACUUGAGGGGAGCCAGACUUGGAGUCAGAGAGAUAAAUUAUGACACAUGGUGAGGAUGGAGCGAAGUGGACACAGCUGAAGCAUAUUUAGAAGGUGGAAUUGGUAGAACCUGGUGAUGGCUGGAUUUAAGAAGGAAAUAACCAGCCCUCUUCCAGGCUUACGGAAUAUCAAGAGGACCUCCCAGCUUAGGAAACAGUUUGGACUGCUUCAGGCUACAGAACUUCCGUAUUUCCACCAUCUUGAUCAUUGCUCUCAUCUGGGGCUCUUGACAUUGUGGGGUGGCUGAGAGCAAACUCCCGUGUGACAAGUGAGGCCAUGUAAGAACACUCCUGGGCUGACGUGCUGAAGGCAAGAAUGAGAGGUUAACCUCGGUUUGACUCCCUCUUCAAAAUGGCUGGAAGCUGUUGCCUUUGAUCCUCACCAAAGCCUUUAAUACUUUGGAGCCAGAGAACAGUAUUAUAUUUUUCAGUGCCAUCUAAAUCCCCCCGGUACAUAGUUGUGUAUUCUUCGUUGUGGGUUCCUCUAGUUGUGGCAUGUGGGAUGCUGCCUCAGCGUGGUCUGACAAGCAGUGCCAUGUCCGCGCCCAGGAUUCGAACCGACGAAACACUGGGCCGCCUGCAGCAGAGCGUGCGAACUUAACCACUCGGCCACGGGGCCAGCCCCUGUCUCAAGGUAUUUUUAAUUUCUCUCUUGAUUUCUUCUUUGACCUAUGGUUGUUCAGUAGCAUGUUGUUUAAUCUCCAUAUAUUUGUGAAUUUUUGUUUUUUUCUUGUAAUUGAUUUGUUUCAUACCGUUGUGGGCAGAAAAGAUGCUUGCUUGAUUUCAAUCUUUUUAAAUUUAAGACUUGUUUUGUGUCCUAACAUAUCCUCUAACCUGGAGAAUGUUCCAUGUGCACUUGAGAAGAAUGUAUAUUUUGUUGCUUUUGAAUGGAAUUUUUUUUUUUUUUGGUAUAUAUUUUUUGUAUAUAUUUGUUAAGUCCAUUCGAUGUAAUGUGUCAUUUAAGGCCAAUGUUUCCUUAUUGAUUUUCUGUCUGGAUGAUCUAUCAUUGAUGUAAGUGGCAUAAAGUCCCCUUCUAUUAUUGUAUUGCUGUCUAUUUCUCCUUUUCGUUCUGUUAAUAUUUUUUAGGUGCUCCUAUUUUGGGUGCAUAAAUACUUACAAAGGUUAUAUCUUCCUGUUGAAUUGACUCCUUUGUCAUUAUGUGAUGACCUUCUUUGCCUCUUAUUACAGUCUCUGUCUUAAAGUCCUAUUUUUUCUGAUAUAAGUAUAGCUACCCCAGCUUUAUUUUGGUUUCAUUUGCAUGGAAUAUCUUUUUUUCACCCCUUUACUUUCAGUUUGUGUGUAUCCUUACAUCUGAAGUUUGUCUCUUGUAGGCAGCAUUAUAGAUGACUCGUUUUUUUUUUAACUGAGAUAUACUUGACAUAUAAUAAUAUAUUUCAAGUAUAGAACAUAAUGAUUCAAUAUUUGUAUAUAUUGUGAAAUGAUCACCACACUAAGUCUAGUUAACAUCAAUUGCCACACAUAGAUGGGUCAUUUUUUUAUCCAUUCAGUCACUCUAUGUCUUUUGAUUGGAGAAUUUAGUCCAUUUACACUUAAAGUAAUUAUUGAUAGGUAUGUACUUAUUGCUGUUCAUUGUUUUCUGGCUGUUUUGUAAUUGUUUUCUUUCUUCUUCUCUUGCACUCUUUGUGAUUUGAUGAUUUUCUAUAAUGAUAUGCUUAAAUUUCUUUAUCUUUUUUGUGUCUACUAUAGGUUUUUGCUUUGUGGUUACCAUCAGGCUUACAUAAAACCACUUAUAUUUAUAACAGUCUAUUUUAAGUUGAUAUCAUCUUAAGUUUGAACACAUUCUGAAGAUCCAUAUUUUACUCCCUCCCCCACAUUGUUUUUCAUGUCACAGUUAACAUCUUUUUAACUUGUGUAUCCAAUAACAAAUUAUUGUAAUUAUAGUUAUUACUACUUUUGUCUUUUAACCUUUUAUACUAACUUUAUAAGUGAUUGACCCACCACCUUUAUGUUAGAUUAUUCUAAAUUUUUCUAUAUAUUUAUCUUUGCUAGUGAAAUUUACACUUUCAUAUGUUUUCCUGUUACUAAUUAGCACUCUUUUUUUUUCUUAAGAUUGGCACCUGGGCUAACAACUGUUGCCAAUCUUUUCUUUUCUCCACCCUCCUCCCCUGCACUUUAUCUCCCCAAACCUCCCCUGCACACAGCUGUAUAUCCCAGCCACAGGCCCUUCCAGUUGUGGGAUGCCGCCUCAAUGUGGCCUGACGUGUGGUGCCAUGUCCGCGCCCAGGAUCCAAACCCUGGGCCACCGCAGCAGAGCACGCAAACCCAACCACUCAGCCACGGAGCCGGCCCCUAAUUAGCACUCUUUCAUUUCGGCUUAAAGAGGUCCCUUUAACAUUUCUUGUAAGGCUGCUCUAAUGGUGAUGAACUCCUUUAGCUUUUGCUUCUCUGGAAGACUCUUUCUCUCUCCUUCAACUUGGAAGGAUAACUCUGUUGGGGUAGAGUAUUUUUGGUUGGAAGUUUUGUUUUCUUUCUUUUGGGGCUUUGAAUCCAUUAUUCUACUCCCUUCUGGCCUACAAAGUUUCUACUGAAAAAUCUCAUAGUUUUAUGGGAGUUCUCUUGUUUGUAACAAGUUGUUUUUCUCUUGCUGCUUUUAAGAUUCUCUUCGUGUUUUUAACUUUUGAUAGUUUAAAGUGUUUUGGUGUGGGUCUCUUUGGAUUCCUCUUAUUUGGGAUUCUCUGGGCUUCCUGGAUCUGAAUGUCUGUCAGAUUAGAAGCCUGCCCCUCAGGCCAAAGCUUUAAGAUAAGCAAAUAGGGCUCUUUCACAAAAUGGCUGGGCACUUGUCAAUUGGCUGCCUCUCUGCUGGGCCCUGGGGAGUAGCUGGGUAGAGUCCCUGCAGCUUCUUAAGAACUGGUUUUUAGGUGGGUGAAAUGAGCAAACAGGGUCAAAAGGUAGAAACUUGCAGCUAUAAAUAAGUUCUGGGGUGUAAUGUAUGACAUGAUGACUAUAGUUAGUAAUACUGUAUUGUAUGUUUGACAGUUGCUAAGACAGAGGUUAAAAAAAGCUAUUAGAAUUUCCUGUAGUCUUACAGUUUUUCUUUAUCUUUCAAAUUAAAAAUGUGACCAGACUGCAAAAACAAACAAACAAAAAUGUUUCUCAGUUCACUGUAGUCUUGUGGGUCUCAUGGAUGUAAGCCCCAUUGGCUUUCAAGUCUAGAUGUUUUGGGGGCUCAUCUCUCAGGUGCAAG
ensembl:lncRNA